rnacentral:tRNA from 1 species
UUCUCCAUUAAACUACUC